rnacentral:lncRNA from 1 species
GAGAGUUUAAGACAAUAUUAAUAGAAAAAAAGGCGAAAGAUACUAACUGUCCAAAAUAAGCUGACAAAGACAAGGAUAAUAAGAAAAUAACAGUAUACAAAUACAUAACAUAGAAAACUAAAGACAGAACAACAUAAACCCCACCAAACACUGAGGUGAUCUUAGGUGCUUAGAAAACAUGCAUCAGUUUGUAUUUGAAAAAAGUUAGCUCCGUUUUUUGUUUCUAUUUCCGGUUGGAAUAUUUACCAGUCUGAAUCCGACCCACUAUACAUCGAAUCAUCUGAAGAUAUUUCAUCAGGAUCACACCAUCUGUUGUCCGAGUCUGGAACAACUCCGGUGAAUUUUAUUAAUUUUAAACAUGCGGCUGGUACCGUACCUAUCAGUUAAACUUCCUGAUGACUUUCUGCAAAUUUAUUAAAUCUUUCAUUAACAUCUUUGUCAUUUGUCUCGUGGUCUUUCCUCAAUUUAUUUGUUCUCAAAUCAAUUAUUGAUACGUCUACCGGUAAGCUUCCAACGUCGAUUUUAGCAAUGUCCUUCAUACCCCAUCUAUGUCCACUGUUCAGUUUUAAACUCCUUAACGAUUCUGCUUUGUAAAGGGAUGAACAUGUUGAAAUGUACUGAGAAGAAUACUCUCUUGUACUUCCAGUUGCAACAUGGAUAGCAACUUUUUCCUUUUUAUCUGGUGAUUUUGCUGAUAAUCCCUGAGUUAUAUCUUCAUCCUC